AUUGAACGCUGGCGGCAGGCCUAACACAUGCAAGUCGAGCGGCAGCGGAAAGUAGCUUGCUACUUUGCCGGCGAGCGGCGGACGGGUGAGUAAUGUCUGGGAAACUGCCUGAUGGAGGGGGAUAACUACUGGAAACGGUAGCUAAUACCGCAUAACGUCGCAAGACCAAAGAGGGGGACCUUCGGGCCUCUUGCCAUCAGAUGUGCCCAGAUGGGAUUAGCUAGUAGGGGGGGUAACGGCUCACCUAGGCGACGAUCGCUAGCUGGUCUGAGAGGAUGACCAGCCACACUGGAACUGAGACACGGUCCAGACUCCUACGGGAGGCAGCAGUGGGGAAUAUUGCACAAUGGGCGCAAGCCUGAUGCAGCCAUGCCGCGUGUAUGAAGAAGGCCUUCGGGUUGUAAAGUACUUUCAGCGGGGAGGAAGGUGUUGAGGUUAAUACCCUCAGCAAUUGACGUUACCCGCAGAAGAAGCACCGGCUAACUCCGUG
rnacentral:rRNA from 1 species